rnacentral:lncRNA from 1 species
GUAGGUAUCAGGUCCGUUCGCGCCCAAUAUACUUUCGCACCCUACACGUUCGCACCUCGCACGUUCGCACCCAAGGUCCGUUCGCACUCUACACGUUCGCGCCCAAUUUUAAUUCAAAUUCCAGUUGAAUAAUUGGAAAAUCAUCAUUGUUGUUUUUAAUUGCUUUCGUGUAAAUACUGAAUGUAUUUAUAGCUUGGUAUGGGUAAAAGAUUGAAGAUUAUAAAUGAAAAA